GAAGAGACGCUGAGUGGGGAGGAGAGAGGGACAGAGAGGAGAGGAGCCGCUUACAUGAGUGUAAGCGGCUCCUGUCUGGUUGGUUCCUUCCUUUAAAGCAAGCAGGCUCUCUGUCCCUCUCUCCUCCCCACUCAGCUCGCUACAU